rnacentral:rRNA from 1 species
UACGUAGGGUGCAAGCGUUGUCCGGAAUUAUUGGGCGUAAAGAGCUCGUAGGCGGUUUGUCGCGUCUGCUGUGAAAACUCGGGGCUUAACCCUGGGCCUGCAGUGGGUACGGGCAGACUAGAGUGCGGUAGGGGAGACUGGAAUUCCUGGUGUAGCGGUGAAAUGCGCAGAUAUCAGGAGGAACACCGAUGGCGAAGGCAGGUCUCUAGGCCACUACUGACGCUGAGAAGCGAAAGCAUGGGGAGCGAACAGG